rnacentral:rRNA from 1 species
UACUGGGAUGUACGAGGAGAAAGGAUUUAUUCGCUGAGGGAUGGGUCUGCGGCCUAUCAGGUAGUUGGUGGGGUAAAGGCCUACCAAGCCUGCGACGGGUAGCCGGACUGAGAGGUCGACCGGCCACACUGGAACUGAGACACGGUCCAGACUCCUACGGGAGGCAGCAGUGGGGAAUAUUGCACAAUGGGGGAAACCCUGAUGCAGCGACGCCGCGUGGAGGAUGACGGCCUUCGGGUUGUAAACUCCUUUUGUCAGGGACAAUGGUGAUGGUACCUGACGAAUAAGCCACGGCUAACUCUGUGCCAGCAGCCGCGGUAAGACAGAGGUGGCGAGCGUUGUUCGGAAUUACUGGGCUUAAAGGGCGCGUAGGCGGUGGUGUAAGUCUGGGGUGGAAUGCUACAGCUCAACUGUAGAGCUGCCUUGGAAACUGCAUUACUUGAGUCGGUGAGGGGAAGGCGGAAUUCCUGGUGUAGCGGUGAAAUGCGUAGAUAUCAGGAGGAAGGUCUGUGGCGAAGGCGGCCUUCUGGCACUUGACUGACGCUGAGGCGCGAAAGCGUGGGGAGCAAACAGGAUUAGAUACCCUGGUAGUCCACGCCCUAAACGGUGGGUAUUAGGUGUGGGGCCUUCAUGGGUUCCGUGCCGUAGCGAAAGCA